rnacentral:rRNA from 1 species
AGAGUUUGAUCCUGGCUCAGAUUGAACGCUGGCGGCAUGCCUUACACAUGCAAGUCGAACGGCAGCACGGGGGCAACCCUGGUGGCGAGUGGCGAACGGGUGAGUAAUACAUCGGAACGUGUCCUGUAGUGGGGGAUAGCCCGGCGAAAGCCGGAUUAAUACCGCAUACGAUCUGUGGAUGAAAGCGGGGGAUCUUAGGACCUCGCGCUACAGGGGCGGCCGAUGGCAGAUUAGCUAGUUGGUGGGGUAAAGGCCUACCAAGGCGACGAUCUGUAGCUGGUCUGAGAGGACGACCAGCCACACUGGGACUGAGACACGGCCCAGACUCCUACGGGAGGCAGCAGUGGGGAAUUUUGGACAAUGGGCGCAAGCCUGAUCCAGCAAUGCCGCGUGUGUGAAGAAGGCCUUCGGGUUGUAAAGCACUUUUGUCCGGAAAGAAAACCUCCGUCCUAAUACGGUGGGGGGAUGACGGACCGGAAGAAU